CUGGUGUGAGAUGGACGGACCUGCUACGACCUCUAGGUUGUAUGAUUGUAGAGUGGCUUUGGGAACUGUUGAGUAACUCUCACGUCACGUGUCAUUACAAAAAACAUUGAGUUCUGUGUGGGCAGUCAAGCAGUAUCAGUGUUAACCAUCAUUUAUAUAGCCAGCCAAUGUUUGGUCCUAAGGGUCUAGUCUAGCUAUAUCUAGGGCCUAGUGGUAUAGAUGGGUCUAGUCUAGCUAUAUCUAGGGCCUAGUGGUAUAGAUGGGUCUAGUCUAGUGGUAUAGAUGGGUCUAGUGGUGUAGUCUAGUUAUAUCUAGGGCCUAGUGGUAUAGAUGGGUGUAGUCUAGUUAUAUCUAGGGUCUAGUGGUAUAGAUGGGUCUAGUCUAGUGGUAUAGAUGGGUCUAGUCUAGUGGUAUAGAUGGGUCUAGUCUAGUGGUAUAGAUGGGUCUAGUCUAGUGGUAUAGAUGGGUCUAGUGGUAUAGUCUAGCUAUAUCUAGGUCCUAGUGGUAUAGAUGGGUCUAGUCUAGCUAUAUCUAGGUCCUAGUGGUAUAGAUGGGUCUAGUCUAGCUAUAUCUAGGUCCUAGUGGUAUAGAUGGGUCUAGUCUAGCUAUAUCUAGGUCCUAGUGGUAUAGAUGGGUCUAGUCUAGCUAUAUCUAGGUCCUAGUGGUAUAGAUGGGUCUAGUCUAGCUAUAUCUAGGUCCUAGUGGUAUAGAUGGGUCUAGUCUAGCUAUAUCUAGGUCCUAGUGGUAUAGAUGGGUCCAGUCUAGCUAUAUCUAGGUCCUAGUGGUAUAGAUGGGUCCAGUCUAGCUAUAUCUAGGUCCUAGUGGUAUAGAUGGGUCUAGUCUAGCUAUAUCUAGGUCCUAGUGGUAUAGAUGGGUCUAGUCUAGCUAUAUCUAGGUCCUAGUGGUAUAGAUGGGUCUAGUCUAGCUAUAUCUAGGUCCUAGUGGUAUAGAUGGGUCUAGUCUAGCUAUAUCUAGGUCCUAGUGGUAUAGAUGGGUCUAGUCUAGCUAUAUCUAGGUCCUAGUGGUAUAGAUGGGUCUAGUCUAGCUAUAUCUGGGUCCUAGUGGUAUAGAUGGGUCUAGUCUAGCUAUAUCUAGGGUCCUAGUGGUAUAGAUGGGUCUAGUCUAGCUAUAUCUAGGGUCCUAGUGGUAUAGAUGGGUCUAGUCUAGC